rnacentral:rRNA from 1 species
CAGCUAGUUGGCGGGGUAACGGCCCACCAAGGCUUAGAUCGGUAGCCGGCCUGAGAGGGCGCACGGCCACACUGGAACUGAAACACGGUCCAGACUCCUACGGGAGGCAGCAGUGGGGAAUUUUGCGCAAUGGGGAAACCCUGACGCAGCAACGCCGCGUGUGUGAAGAAGGCCUGCGGGUUGUAAAGCACUUUUAGUGGGGACAAAAAGCUACGGAUUAAUACUCUGUGGUCUUGAUUUAACCCAAAGAAAAAGCACCGGCUAACUCUGUGCCAGCAGCCGCGGUAAUACAGAGGGUGCGAGCGUUAAUCGGAAUUACUGGGCGUAAAGCGCGCGUAGACGGUUUUGUAAGUCAGAUGUGAAAUCCCUGGGCUCAACCUGGGAACUGCAUUUGAGACUGCAUGGCUAGAGUAUCGAAGAGGGAGGUGGAAUUUCCGGUGUAGCGGUGAAAUGCGUAGAUAUCGGAAGGAACACCAGUGGCGAAAGCGACUUCCUGGUCGAAUACUGACGUUCAUGUGCGAAAGCGUGGGGAGCAAACAGGAUUAGAUACCCUGGUAGUCCACGCCAUAAACGAUGACAA